GUGGUUGUGGAUUGUUUAUGUGUAGUCUGCUUCCCGGCCGUUAUUGAAAUUCUUGGUUAAUAUUUGUAUAUUCCGAAGGCAUACUGAAUGUUUUACGGAGGGGACCAACCUAGUGUAUGUGUUACAUAUUUGUUUUUCGUUCAUUGUUUUAUAUAAAUAAGGCCGUUAGUUUUUUCGUUUGAAUUUUUUUACAUUGUCAUUUUGGGGCCUUUUAUAGCUGACAAUGCGGUAUAGGCUUUUCUCAUUAUUUAAGGCCGUACGAUGACCUAUAGUUGUUAAUUUCUGUGUCAUUUAGGUCUCUUGUGGAGU
rnacentral:lncRNA from 1 species